GAGUAACACCAUAGUCCCUUUUUACCUUUCUUGCAUUUUUGUCAUCAUAUCAUCAUGUUGCAUUCAUGCAUAUCACCACCUUUGGUUUUUAUAAAAUUGCAUUUGGUUUUGGUUGUGUUUUCGUUUGCUUGCUUGGUCUUCUUCUACCUCUCUCUUGGUUCAUCCCCUUCCUCUUGUGAUGUUCCAAGAAAAGCUAACAAGCCCAACCUAUCCCUCUACUUGACCUAUAUUUCAAAUGGGUUAUGCCAAAUUCUUAUAUGGUUGCUAUAAACCUACCUCUUCUCUCUAUUUUGCAAUGCACAUGUUUUAUGACCUUGAGAUGGGUAUCUUCUCAAAUGGUUGGGCCAUUAAGGUUUAAUAAAUAUUUUAUCUUCUCUUUAUUUCUCUAUGUCCCACUCUUCUUCUUUUCUCCUUUUUAUCUCAACCACCAUAGUUGGUAUACAAGGUUGGGCCUCUCUGAAUUCAAAUUCCCUCUUUCAAAUUGCAAAUUUAUCUCUUCUCCAAUUUUCAAAAAAGGUUUUGAAAAGAGAAAGAAAUAAAAACAGUAAAAUAAAUAAAAGAAAAACCUAGCUAAUCUAACCCACCUAUCUAACCCAGCCCAACUAAUCUAACCGGUGGCCCAACCCCCACGUACAUGCCCAAGAAGAAGCAAACAAGAGCCAUCGUUGGAGAAACUUCCCUGUAUCUCUUCUUCCUCGUGUACGAACACCUCCAUGGCCACAUGAUUCUUCCCCCUCUCCCGAUGCUUGACACCUGCCCCUCUUUUCCCUCUCCUUAAGAUGCCAGGAGACCUACCAGAAACCUAGCUGCCUCUUCCUCCUCCCCAAGCCGCCGCCACUCCCCAUCUUUUCCUGAACGUUAGAGAAAGGUUUCUGCCCGGAGUCUCGUCGAUCACCGCCGUCGCCAUGGCCUCCGGCGAGCCCACGUGAGCUGGGGAAUCGGUUCCUCUCUUCCUCCUCUACGUCCUGGACGUCGUCACGGAUCCGGAGACGCCAAGCCUGCCCGCGAGCAUCCACUUCUGCAUCAUCUACCCCGGCCAACCUUCUUCCUCUUCGCCGGCGAGCUCCUCCGCCGCUUCCUCCUCUUCAACGGCGACCCCAGGACGCCGACGCAGAGCAAUACGAGCAGGAGUACGAGUUCCCUCUGGAGGAUCGUGUCGGUGCUUCUACCUCUGAUCUGACAGGCGAGCCCACCCCUUCACCUAUUUUACUUUUACAUGCUCUUUUGAUCUAUUGCUAUCCUUAUGUUGCGAUUCUGUUGUGUCACGUGUCC